AGCCACAGCAGCAGCGGUCGCCAUCUUG
rnacentral:piRNA from 1 species